CAAUAGCGUAUAUUAAAGCUGUUGCGGUUAAAAAGCUCGUAGUUGGAUUUCUGUCAAGGACAACUGGUCCGCCCUCCGGGUGAGCACAUAGUUUGGUCUUGGCAUCUUGCUGGAAACUGUUGCUGCGCUUGGUUGUGUGGUGCAGCUUUCAGCACUUUCACUUUGAGGAAAUUGGAGUGUUUCAAGCAGGCACAUGCCUUUGGACACAGUAGCAUGGAAUAAUUAGAUUGGGCUUUUGCUCCAACUUGUUGGUUUCUGGAGCUGAGGUGAGAAUUAAUGGGGAUUGUUGGGGGCAUCCGAAUUUAGCCGUCAGAGGUGAAAUUCUUGGAUCUGCUAAAGACGGACAACUGCGAAAGCGUUUGCCCAGGAUGUUUUCAUUGA
rnacentral:rRNA from 1 species